rnacentral:rRNA from 1 species
UACGAAGGGUGCAAGCGUUACUCGGAAUUACUGGGCGUAAAGCGUGCGUAGGUGGUUUGUUAAGUCUGUUGUGAAAUCUCAGGGCUCAACCCUGAAACUGCAUUCGAUACUGCGUGGCUAGAGUGCUGGAGGGGAGACUGGAAUUUACGGUGUAGCAGUGAAAUGCGUAGAUAUCGUAAGGAAGACCAGUGGCGAAGGCGAGUCUCUGGACAGCAACUGACGCUGAGGCACGAAGGCCAGGGGAGCAAACGGG